AUCUCUCAAGGCAGAAUUGGAUUUUAAAAGGCUAUCUACAUACGGAUUACGACCCUCGCUGCAAUAGCCGUACCUUUUGAAUAAAAAGUCCGGCAUCUCAACAUACAAUUCACUGAAUUUUUGCCUAUAACUCUUUAAGAUUCUUCUUAAAUUGGAGAUCGCCCCAGCCAAUUCGCUGGGGGGCAAUCCAUGCUCCAAUUGAGCAAGAAAAGAGCAAAACUGCUGCCAAUUUUGACAAACAGAAUCUUCAAGAAUUUCAGUUCUCUCUGAGUAAAAACACAAUUUCCUUGCACACAGGAAAAAUAUCUUCACUAGGCUCAACUCUACCUUCAGCUCCUUCAGAUCAUGAUCAUCCUUGCAGAAAUCUAUGAUCGAAUCAAUGCAAGUCAUUGCCUCGCUAGACAGAGUGAGUGACAGCGAUUCAGAUUCCCAGACACCAGUAUAAGUCAAAGAAGCUUGGUCAGCAGAAGGGUUGAUCUGCUCCACCGAUUCAGAGGUAUUCAAGUGAAUUCCAUCUCUUAAAAACCAACAACAAAGACGAGCUGCGAAUAGAGCCGCAAAUGGAAAUCGCUCGAUAUAUUCAAGGCGAUUCACCCAGCCACAACUGAGCUUCCCCCGAUUCACCCACCCCGAACUGAAAUGUUUCACAAAUGGAAAUCGCUUGAUAAAUUUGAGGCUAUUCCCCCGGCCUGAACUGAAAUGUUUCACAAAUGGAAAUCGCUUGAUAGGAUGCCCUUGCGGUAAUGUUGAGUAAAUAAGAACAGGUUUCAAGACUUCUGCAAAUCUUGAAUCACAGAGUACACCAAGGCGGAGAAUGCACUCAACAUUCUGUUGGAAGGAUGUGAAAAGAUCAAUGACUCGCCUUUUCCAAUAAGACAUCUCUUCCCAUCCACCCGUCCAGUCAUUAUCCAGUGCUGCUGCAAAUAUCUCGUUCUGGAAUCCGAAAAGAGUGGUACCAUGGAAUCCCACAUCCGUUUGUAAAAAUCUCUGAUUUGUUGCCCAAAAUUCACUAUACUUUCUCGAUCUGCUACAGUGGAGGGCAAUCCAUCCUUAAGAAGAAGAGAAUAAAAACCCUGCCAACCUUGAUGAACAGAAUCGUCAAAAAGUCGGGUCUGUUGCCUAAAAUUCUUCAAAAAAUCUCCAAAAAUGGAGGCUGCUGCAAUUGAGUCGAAGCUGGACAAUGCCUGAUCUAAUUCAGAAGAAGAGUAAAUGCACCCCCUAUUGGCACAAACAAAAUGUACAAGACUUUGAAAAGAAAUCUCCAAUUUCCUUGCAGCCAGAAAAUAAUUUCUCACUUCUUCUAAUUCCCCUUCAACUUGUCCAAAUAAUCCUCCUCCCCGAAGAAAACACCCUCGGCCACCAGCAACUGCAGCUUACCCAAGAUCGUUUCAGUGAAACACUUGCUGUCCUGCUGCUCUUCUGGAUGCCAUGACUCCUGUUCCAGUUCCAGUAUUCUCUCUCUCAGAUUCUCCUAUCUCCGGAGGUCUGUCAGCCUUUUUCCUCUCUACCUCUCGAUAAGAUGACUGAUCCGAUCGGGGUCAGUCAACGCUGCGGAAAAGGGCUUACAACUCAAUAAUUGGUAGAAAUAAAUUUUACUCAUCAAAAAGUUUAAUUUUGGUCCCUCAAAUUAAAAUAAGGUCUCAAUUCGGUUCUCCAAAGUGGCAAAACGUCCCCGCGUAAUUUGGUCCUCAAACUGAGAAACUUCCACUUUGGUCCUCCCAUGUAGCAUGAAAAUCUGAAUUUGAUCCUGAGAAUCUGACACUUUUCCUGAUGGAUAUGCGUCAAAACCAGCAGAUAGGAGCAUUAUGUCUCUUAGAACUAGUAUUCGUAGAUUCACAACUUAAAAUGGGAGAGAGAGAGAGAGGCUAAUAAUUUCAUGUUUACAGUUAUUAAGGUUAGAAAAAUUUUAUGCUAAACAACAAUACGAUAGGUGACAAUUAUAAAUUAACAGAUAGUUCACAUUUUAAGAAUUUCGUAUUUGUAGUUAUCGCCUAAAACAUGCCGUGACUUUGAGUUGCUUUUUGCAAUUGGAUUCUUCAAAUUCUCUCUGCACAUUAGGACAAAUCAACGGGAUGGCGCAAUGGAAACAACCAUCAAGCAAGAAACGCCACUCAUCAGACACUUGUAUAAAUCUGCUACGAAGCAGAACUGAUAAUUGGACGUAAGCAUGUAUCCAAUUGUACAAGUCUGGUAGAAGUUCCUGUUCAUAAUUAUACCGGGGCACGUUUUAACCUCUCUGUCUCAAGAGCAUCUACACAAGAUUGUGUAGUCCCAUUUUCCAUAAGAAACAAUAAUGAAUUUUACACAUAUCUGAACAAUAAUGUUAAGUUUAUAUUCUAUCAUACAAGUUCCACGGAUACUUGAGAAGCAAGUGUAAGCAUAUCAAUCAACUUCUUCACAAUCAGUUUAAUCAAAUAGUACAUUUAUUGGUUAAUAUUGAAACAUAUGUCUGCAAAAAAUAUUACAUCAGUCUCGAAAAUACCACACAGAAGAUAAAAUAUUUAGACUUAUUGUAACUUUUUAGUAUCAUGAAUGCUAUUUAGGUUGGUGGUAUUUGGUAAAAGCUGUGGAUAGGAAAACAAUUAAAGUACGUUAUUGUUUAGGAUAUUAUGCCACUUAUAAAAUGAUGGCGCAAAAACUAAUGCACACUUUAUGGCUUCAUUUUGGCGAUAGGAAUUUUUUCUUUUUAUCUUGUUUAAGAAUAAUUUGAUCAAAAUAUCUUAAAGGCAAAGCUCUAAGUGAUGACAAGCAAAUAAAAACCAUACCAACUGUUAUACUCAAAAGCAGGACAUCAUUAUUAUUAGAACAGAAAAGAAAAGGGCUAUUAGAACAAAAAACAAAGGGCAUUGAACCACAACAGAUAAUUUCACAAUUCCCUUAGAGUACAUUCAAUGUACUCUACGGAUAGAGGAAUACAUAGAGUUGAACAUAGUAAAAUAAAAAAUUGAAAGAUUUCGUUGAAAUUGUUCAUUUGGAAAUUUCCCGAAAAGCUAAUUAUAGGUUCUUCUCUCCAUCAGAACAAUAGGGCCGUUAUACUCGUUACUAAACUUGUUGAAGAGAUGAAAUAUAACCAAGGUAUAUCUUUUUUAUCCGAGGAUGAAUCGAUCAUCAGAAGAAGAAUUAGGCCAAAAAUUAGGAUACAUUCUGGGAAAAUCAAACUUCCAUCGAAGAGAAGCAAAUGAAAGGCUUUCAUAAAAAUUCUCAUAGAAUCGAGAAUGACUUAUUUCAGAAAACAAGCAGUAAAAAGCAGCGUCAAGCAAAUUUUUCUAAAUUUCACAAAAACAGAUUUUAUGCAAAGCCAAAAACUAGAAAGAAAAUAAGAAUGACUAAGUUGAUUUCAAGUUUUAUUUUUAAACUUCAUUUCUGAUUGUUGUAUCUUAUGUAUUUCCAAAUUUUGGCUGAAGUUUUGUUCUUUAGUCCUAAUACCUUUUAGUCCAUGUUCAUCCCAAAUUUUAUUGGUGUUAUUUAAUUAUUAGUUUUUACCUUUUACAUUUAGCAAUAAUUUUUUAAUUGACAUUUUAUUUAUUAGUUUUUAACUAAAGUUAUAAAUAAAGCAUGGAUUUUGUCGAUCAAGACUCACAACCACUGAAAAGUGAAAACAUAUUAUUCCAACAAUAGAGGACCAUUAUUCUAGUACUACGAUCUCGAGUGGAGUGGAGGAAGCAUUUAGGAAUCAAAAGAAAGAAAUCAUGCACACAGCAGUUGAAUUUUUUCUUUUUCAAAAAAAGGUGUAUUAUUAAAACAUUAAAGUUUGAAGUCUUGCCAAUUUGGUGGAGGGGCCAAAUUUUUGCGAGUAGGAAAUGCACACACAUGAGGAUGACUUGUUCCAACUUUUUCAAUGUUGACAUAUACCUAUUUUAUAUGUUUUUUUUUUCUUUUGAAAACCCAACUUUGUCGGAACUCAUUUGUUUUGUUCAUCAAUUAAUUAAGCCAAACAUAAAUACAAUUUUUGUGUUUAGAGUGAUUCGUGCCUGACUUGAUUCAACUAGCAUCAAAUUUAAGAUUUAUAUGUAAAUAAUUCAAAAUUUUCUAAUUCGAUAGAAUCAAAGCUCGUUCGGGUUUGAUUCUGUCAAUAAACAGGUCUAAGUUUAAAUAUGAUUUCAAUCCCAUUAAAAUAAAUGAACAAAUUAAACACUAGAGAGAUUUGUCUAUGAUUAGGCUCCUUUGUACUCCAAUUUAAAAGCUAUUCAAGAAUUUGCAAAUUAAGGAAUCUUGUCAAGAAAACCUUGAAAUGUGUAAACAUUAAGUUAAGAGUAAAUUUGUAUGUAUGUCUGUAAUCAUUCUCCUCAAACUAAACAUAUCCCUCGACAAAAAGUUUUGGGCUGCUUUCGAUUUUCUAAAAGAUUUCCAGGCUCAAGCCAUAUUCUUUAAUUAUUGAAUAACAAGUAAAGAACGAAACUCUUCCUAUGUAGUAUAACUUUAAGCGAAGUUGCAUUUGAAAAUCAAGAAAGAAGCGUGAAAGCAAUAUUCUGUCUCUAACUUAAAACUUUUAAUGUUGAAUAAGGGGCAAAAUAUUCGAAUAAGAGAAUGAUUUAUUAAUUAACAUUAACCUAGAGAUCAACGUAAUCUAACAUUAAGAGGCAAAAAACAAAAUGGUGAUUAUAUUAAUGUUACCCACUUGUAUUGCUGAGAAAUUAGUAAAGGCUACAAAUUGAGAAUUAUUUAUUUCUCCUCUCAGGAUUGACAAAUACUAAGUAAUGCUUUAGGUAAAGAUGGUCACAAUUACUCAAAGCUACUAUUAACGUGCGAAAUAGUCUUGCAUUUACACUCUAAAAGUCCUCGAAAAUUUGUCAAAUGAGAUUCUUUUUUUUUUUUCCUACCUUUUUAGGAAGAGUUAAAUGUACAAAAACAAUCUCAACCUGAAAAUAAGAGUUGUCUUCUGGCAAGAUGUACCUAUUUAGUGUAACCUCGCAUUUUCUUUGGCCCAGCAUCUAGUCUUUGUACAAAUGGAUUGUACUUUAAAAGGUAUUUUGGUGUAAUGAUGAGAGUUCCAAGACCAGAGGACAGUUCUGAACUUUGACAGAUACUCUUGAAAUUGGAAAUGGGGCAGGGACAAUCGUGAGUAUGACCGUCCCUGAACGGUUAAUGGCCAUGAUCUGGCCUCAAAAAUUUAUGUGGCUGAGAUUACAAGUUGUAACUCGAUUUUCACGCCAUGUAUGGGUCCUACAAAAAUUUGCUCUAAAGUUACGCGAUAUGCAAAACAAGUUACGCGAUGUACAAAGAAAGUUAUGCGCAGUUGAAAAUGGCUAAAACCGUCCGGGACGGUUGCAAGUGCCCCUUGUCCCUUGAAAUUUUGCUCCCACUCUCGACAACCUUUCUCGGCACACCCUCAACACACCAUCACCCCAGCAGUUAAACUGUAGAGCAGAGCACACAAUCAGAAACUCUCAGAGAAAUGUGCAGAACAGUUAGUGUACAAGCUAAGUGCAGCAGGGCACAGAAUAUACCCCAGAAGCACUACCAUCACACUGCAACAUCUAUAACCACAGGGGUUGACCCAGUGGCCAGAGAAAGAUUUAACACACUUAAAGUUCUCUCUGUUAGGUUCAAUGUUCGAAUUCUUGGCUUGGCAGUGGGAGAUGAAAAAAAUAUAUAUACCCAUUUUGACACAACACAUUUGACUAACUGAAAAAGCACAAAUACAAGAUCGUAUCAGAUUUUGUAUUUCCAUUAUUAGAUGAAACAUAUCUUUUACAUAUAACUCUCUAAGGUAAGUUUAUAUUCCAUCAUGUAAGCUUCAAAGAUAUUUGAGAAGCAAGUGUAAACAUCUGGAAUAAAUCAUAAGUAUAUCUGUUGCAAAGAAUCAAAGAGAUUUUAUUAAUUCUAUAUCUUUCCUACAAUCCAUUCUAAUCUAUAUAUACAAUUUUCUGGUACACUAAACAAGGAAAGUCUACAUCUAAUUCCCUUAAUUUUAGAGACAGCUUAUUCACCCUGAUUUCCUCCACUAAUUUACCUAAAAUAUCUCCUAAGAUUACUCAUUCAAGAUUCCUACAUUCACCCUGAUUUCCUCCACUAAUUUAUCUCCUAAGAUUACUCAUUCAAGAUUCCUACAAUAUCCAUCCUCAAUAUUUGAGCAAUCAACUUAAUCAAACAGUACAUUAAGUUGUCAUUAAGACAAAGCACUUAUUUAUGCAUUACAACGACAAAUAUGACAUCCAUGUAACGCUUAUGGCAGAUGAUCAUUAGCCUGAUCAUGCGUCUAAAAUCUCCGCCCAUGAUGAAGACUCCUCAAUUUCUUCUGGUAACCAUCCGUCUGAAUCUCCAUCUGACCAUGAAGAAGACUCAUCAACUUCUUCCGAGAUAAGGAUUUUCAGAUCCAUGUUUCCAUAAUCCGUCUGUUGUUUCUUAAUGUCCCGAACUAAAUCUCCAGCAGAGUAUAGACAUCCAUGCACCUCAAUCAAUUGAAGAGUAAAAGUUUCCCAUAAACAGGAAGGGAGCUCUUCCAAUUCCGCGCAACCCUCCAAAAUUAAUGUCUCAAGACUGGAAAAUGCUCUCCUGAGCCCAUCCACCUGACCAUCUUCAAGGAUUCCAAUUUCAAGAACUUGAGUUUAGGGAAAAUUUCCUCUUCUUCCAUGUAUUCAAUGUCUCCCAUGUCCCAUUCCUUUUCCCCAUCUGCUUGUCGGAUUAAUUUGAGAGCCUCAAGAUUGGGUAGCUUUCUGAUUGUGCAAAUUAUACUCCAUGAGAAGUCCUCCAAUGUCAACUUUUUCAGAUUCAAGGGAGAUGAAAUUCAAUACAAUUUGCAGUAACUUUACCCAGUAGCAGCUUUAGUGAUUCUAGCUGACUCAGAGAGUCCAUUGCCACGAUCCUUGUGCUCUCACUAGUAGGUCCCUCUGACUGUAGCAGACAGCAUUUCAGUCUGCGGAUAUUUGGAAACUUCAUCAUCAUCUUUUCCAUGCUUUGCCCAAGAUAAAGCUUUGGAGUGGAAAACGUGUGUAAAUUGUAUAACAUGAGAGCUUUCAGGUUUUCCUUUUCCAACCUAAGAUCAAUCAAAGCACCACGUACUUGUAGAUGCCUCAAUUUCUGCAAUUUCCAAAAAUUAUCUUCCAACGAUGAAAGAACAAAAUCAGAAUAAUAUGUUGUCACACAAAACGUUUCCAAAUUCGAGAGGUUUUCCAGCGAGGGUGGGAUGCAUUUAAUCCAACCCGAAACAGCCAAGUACCUCAACUGAAUGAGAAACCCUAAUUCACAUAAGAAAUUAAAACCAAGAUUAAUUUGUUCCAAAUCCAACACUUGAAGAAGUUUCAGGUGACAAACAAAGGACAGGUUGUAUGAUACUACACGGCUCCCAAUACCACGAGAAGAAUGUAAUAGAGAGCGUACAUGGGGACAAAAUAUCUUUGACUUCGCAAAAUGCUUUGGCUGAGAGUGAAUGGAUAACCGAUAUAGGUAGUGUGGUUCAUCAAAAUUAAGAAAUCCGUCACAUCCUUGUAUCAAAUGUAGAAAAUUUUGAUCUUUAGCUUUUCGCAAACAAAAGACAUGCAACAAAUCAUGAAUGUGACAUGUCUUGACCCCGCCAAUGGAUCUUUUUGCCCCUCCAUAACCAAGCUUCUGUUGAUUAGAGCUAUUAAAUAGCCUUCUGCUAAUUUUUCAAGGCUCUCUGAUUCCUUCUUUCGCACAAAUCCUUCGGCGAUCCACAGCCACAUCAACCUCUUUACAGAAAUUUCUUGGUCUUCUCUAAAUGCACUGAAGUAAAGAAGGCAUGGCUUCAAAUGGUCAGGUAGAUGUAUGUAACUCAGCUCUAAUAUACUCUUGCAUUGUUCUGUGGCACCAAUCUUGCUGUUUGAGUCUAGCCUUUCUGCUACCUCUCCCCACCGACCUUGAUCUAGCGUCCCGAGAAUUCCAGAUAUGAUGACGAUUGAUAGAGGCAGUCCACUACAGUUUUUUGCUAUUUGCCUCCCUAGAACACUUAGUUCUACAGGAUAGCCACCUUCUAUGGUAAUUGACAGCUUCUUCUUUAGUAACUCCCAGCUUUCUUCUUCAUCAAGUGGCCGAAGAUGGUGAGGUUUACCGGUAAUUCCAUGAUGCCGACUCGUUAAUAUAAUUCUGCUUCCAUUGGCAUAAUCUGGGAAAGAUAUUUUCAAUGCAUUCCACGCCUCAAUAUCCCACACAUCAUCUAAAACUAUGAGAUACUUCUGUUUCCUCAAGUGAUUACAAAGCUUGUGAGCUAAAUCAUCUUCAUCCAUCUCUGAGUAUUGAGCUUUUGGAUCAAUGCAUGCCAAGAUCCCAAGCAACAGAUCUUUCUUGCAAUAUACUUGCGAGAUACAACACCAUGCAAGAAUGUGGAAGUGAGAUGUAAUUGAAGGGUUACGGUAAACUCUUUCUGCCAGAAACGUCUUGCCUAGUCCAGGCAUUCCCACAAUGGAAAUGAUGUCCAACUGCAGCGAUCCUCCUAUAAGUUGAUCAAUAAUUGUUUGCUCCUGAUCCUUCAGACAUACCGCAACUUUAUUGAUUGUUGAGAUAGUACCCUGUGAUGGCACCUGGUGGAAUACUCCACUCCACUUCCUUCCUGCUAUUUCAAAACAAAUUACAAAGAGAACGAAAGAUCAUUAACAAAAUCUGGAGAGCUAAUAUCAUCAUCUUUUAAACUAUUGCAGGAUAUUACCUUGUGAUGGCACAUCCCUCCAACCAUCGGUACGUUUUUGGGCUUCGAUGCUGUCAAUCUCCCCUGUCUUAGUUUUAAGAAGCUUAAUUUCUGCUGUGACAUCAUCAAAUAGCAUAAGAGAAUAAUAUGAUAUAUCUCCAACAAUUAAGGAGUCAAUAACAAACACUGCCUUGUAUGCCACUUCCACAACAUGACUACUAAGAGCUUGGAGCUCUUCAGGGUGGUUGCUUUGAUCCCUGUUGUUUUCCAAGAAUGAUCUUAAGAAUACAAGACCAUCUUGCACUGUUUGAAGUUGAAGCUUUUCCUUAUCUACGUGCUGCCUCAAAUUAUUUUCCAAGAAUGAUUUCAAGAAUGACAAAUCUUCUUGGAUUGUGUGUGGUUGGAGCUUUGCAUCCUGGCUGUGCUGCUCCGCGGCAUUCUUUAAGUAUAGCCUAAAGAAGUGAACUCUAUCCUUUGCAAAAGUAAAUAUAGGAUCAACUUUACAAGUUGCCAGUUCCUUCAGCUUUUCUUGGAGAAAUCGAUAAUCCCCAGCACAUUAGUAGUAGGGAAGUUGAACCUUGGCACUACAGGAUAGCUUUUGUCAACAGCUGCCUUGAUAAUGUUCAUCCUCCCCAGCAAACAAAAGAGCUUAACAUCUAUUUCCUCAGCUGAAGCUUCUUGAAGGUCAUUCUGAUGAAGUGAAAAAAUUACAAUCCAGCGUCAUUGACCACAGCUCCAAUAAGAUCCUUGAUUUUUCCCUCUAUCCAUCGUACUUCUCCUUAUUGAGAAUGUUUCUUAAGAAUCGCAGUCCCUCAAAAAGCAUCCGCAAUUGAUGCUUCAAAGAUACCACAAAAUAGGCAGGACAAUUUAGUAGUAACUCCCCAAGAUGACCUGAGAGAAUCAACAAAUUCAGCCACUAUAAUCACAUCCUUCUUGGCAGACAGAGUGGGGGAAGUUGUUCCAGAUUCAAGGACGCAAAUAUAUGUGAGAUGGGCUCGGUGAUCAACACGCAAGAUCUUUUCUGUUAAUUCAGAAAUCUUCGAGUCCAUCCAGUUGAGCUCUUGAUAGUCAUAUUUGAAAAACCAGCAAAUGUAACAAAGAUGUGCUGCAGAUAAAGCCACAACUGCACAGUGCUCCAAGAGUUUCCUCUUUGGCUUGCCUUGCAAACUGGGAAAGAGAAUGAAAGUUCUAAGGAACACUAGCUUCUCUUGAAGCGGUUCCAACAAUUUUGCAAGUCUUGAAUCACAGGCUUCGCCCCUGAUGACAAUAUCCUCAAGGUUUUCUAAGAGCAAAUUGAAGAGUUCCAUGAAUUCAUCUCUCAAGCCAGAACUGGAUUUUAAAAGGCUAUCUACAUACCACUUACGACCCUCGCUGCAAUAGCCGUACCUGUUGAAUAAAAAGUCCGGCAUCUCAACAUACAAUUCACUGAAUUUUUGCCUAUAACUCUUUAAGAUUCUUCUUAAAUUGGAGAUCGCCCCAGCCAAUUCGCUGGGGGCAAUCCAUGCUCCAAUUGAGCAAGAAAGAGCAAAAACUGCUGGCAAUUUUGACGAACAGAAUCUCUAAAAAUUUCAGUUCUCGUUGAGGAAUAACACAAUUUCCUUGCAC
rnacentral:lncRNA from 1 species